AAUAUAAUUGAAGAGAAGAUAAUUGAGGUGAAGCCGUCAAAGAGUAUAAAUCAUAAGGAUGUUGAUCAGGUGAGUUUUAAUUUCAGGAUUCUCAAGGAUUUUUUUUGGUAAUUAACAUUUUCAUUUCUCAACAAAUAUUACAUACUGCAAUCAAGCUUAAUCUGGAUAUACGCCCCAGAUUUUAGCUCCAUUCCCUGGCCUCAUUUACUACUAGGAUUCUCAAGUUAUUUCUUGCUUUAGUCGUUUUAAAGUUAAUUUUCUUUAAUUUUUUUAGGUCAUCUAAGGUUUUGUUUAUGUGAUUUCUCUUUUUUCUUCUUCUUUGGGUUAGCUAAUGCUUUUAAGGGCUCGUUUGGUACGAGGGAUAAGGAAUAAGGUAUCCUGGGACUAAAUUUAAGAAAAGUUUAUCUCAUGUUUGGUUGAUAGAAAACUGCGAUAUAAUUAAUACCGGGAUUAGUUAUCCCGGGAUUGUAGUAUUUUUUUAUCUCUGUGGGAGGGUAGAGUAACUAAUUCCGGGAUAACUUAUUUCCAGCCAAACGAUCCCUUAAACCUUAGGUGAUUCUUCCUAAAAGCUAAAACUAACGGCUUGUUUGGAUGGUUGUUAUCUAUUGUAUCGUAUUGCUAAAUCCAUUGUUAUGUAUGAUGAAAAGACACCUUUUAUGUAAUCGAUUUAGUGUGGUCGGGUCAUUACCUUUUUUUUUUCUCAUCUUAUGUACUUACUAUAAUUCUAUUUUACUUUUACCCACCUUUUUGAUAGUUACUGUACCCCGUACUCUAUUUUUUCUUUGUAAUAUUGUAAGUUUAUUCUUCAAAUUACUGGCAUGUGAUAUUAUAAAACAACGGAAGACGAUACAAUCUAUCCGAACAUUGUAUUUCAUUAAAGCAAUACAAUACAAUACGAUACAUUAAGAAACAACCAUCCAAACAAGCUGUAAAAGGUAACUGAGGAUUUUCAUUAAAUAAGCAUGUGGUAUGAAUAGAAUCUAGUUUGCUGCUAGUUCUUGCUUUCUUAUGAAUUCUCUUACUUCUCUUUCAAGAACGCUCCAAUGUUCAUUCAUACCGUGACUUUAAUGCCCAAGAUAUGGUUUUUCACUUUGUUUUGGCUGUUGAAACAUACUUAUCUUUCCUAGCUAGGCCAUGAAAAUCCACUUACCAGAGGAAAUAAUUGUGGACAUCCUCAGCAGGUUACCUGUGCUGUCUCUUCUUCGAUUCAAAUAAUUGUGGAUUUAUUUAUACGGAAAGUUUGAUCUCUCCAACAUUACUUACUUAGUAUUUGCUUCUUUCAUGCUCUCAGAGAGGCGACAUGACUUAUUUCUAUACUCUGAAAGAAGUAGUUGAACCCUCCCUCUCUCGCUACACAGGCUGAGGCACUUGCCUUUUACAAUCGCAACGCAACAGAGCCAAAAUAGCGCAGGCUGCUCGCCUUGCCUCACGCUAUUAGCGCUGAGGCGAGCGCUAUUUAUAACACUGCUUUUACCUAUUAUUGCUUCUCUAGUUAUAUAUACUAAUUGCUAUGAGUAAUGCACUAGUUAUUCUUCAGUUGUAGUUGAGUGAAAAAAAGGAUGAAUUAACUUGGUGAUUGAGAACACUAACUAGAAUUAGGUGAUGCUCAAUUUUCGAUACAAACUUUGCAGAUAAUCUAUAUUGCGCGGUCUCUCUAAAAAUGUUGCCACACCUGUGUCAAAUCCUCCAAAAAAUACACUACUUUUGGAGAAUCCGACGUGCACCCGACACUAUUUUUGCGGAGUCCGAGCAACAUAGCAGGUAAUGAUAGAUUUUCAUGAGUUGUUCUUUUUAAAAUUAGCCAGCUUAAACGUUGACAAGGAAGUAAAAGACUUUAAUAAGUUGAAAGAUGUUUGCAGUCUUGGCAUAAGGCAAACUUUUAUGAUAAGAGUUGAGCAGAAUUCAGAAUGUGAAGAUCAAUGUAGACUAUUACAUUUCUUCUCUUACAUUGCGUUUUUUUCUUCAUAGUUUUAUAUGGGGAUAAUACAUAAUUUCCCCCUUCUACUUGUCCAACUUUCUCAGUUGCACACUUAAACUUUGCGGGAAUUCUACCCCUUAUAGUUGUUUGAAGUGGUACAAAAGACCAUCUUUCUCUCGGCGCUCUCUCCCUUUUACAGCUUGUUUGAAUUGUUGGUAUAUGUUGUUACAUAAUGUAUUGUAGUGUACUAUACUGUAUUAUAUUGUUUAAUGAAUACAAUAUUUGGAUAGAUUGUAUUGUU
rnacentral:lncRNA from 1 species